rnacentral:rRNA from 1 species
UUCCCUACGGGAGGCAGCAGUGGGGGAUAUUGCACAAUGGGGGAAACCCUGAUGCAGCGACGCCGCGUGGGCGAAGAAGUAUUUCAGUAUGUAAAGCCCUAUCAGCAGGGAAGAAGAAAUGACGGUACCUGAGUAAGAAGCACCGGCUAAAUACGUGCCAGCAGCCGCGGUAAUACGUAUGGUGCAAGCGUUAUCCGGAUUUACUGGGUGUAAAGGGAGCGCAGGCGGCACGGCAAGCCUGAUGUGAAAGCCCGCGGCCCAACCGCUGGACUGCAUUGGGAACUGCCGGGCUGGAGUGCCGGCUG